UCGUGUAUUUUAAAAAAAAAUCUUCUUUGGUAGGGUUCUGUAAUACGUGAACGUGUCUUCUUAGUGCCUGUAGAUCAUUUAUAUGGAUCAUUUGAUAGAUUCCCUCUAAAGAGAUGUUGUUUCAAUGAAUGUGGGGAAAGAGCGGGAACGACUGAGUCGUAAUAGCUGGUAAUUGGUUAUUUGAAUUCAUUGUCAUAUUCAAAUUCCGAUUUGAAAAGGGCCCUUUUGCUUCAGGACAUACCCAAAAUGCUCAACCUUUCCCCGUAAAAUUACUUCUUGUGGCUCCACAAAGAUGUUUUCGAUCUUCUUAGACCAUAGUUGCCCUAAUGAUGACAUAUUGUAAACAAGGCUUCUAGUAGAAGAAAGAAGCCCUUCGACAGGUGUUGGCGAUUUAGAUCGCUCAGGGGUUUUUUCAGUGCGGGACGGUCGGGAAUCUCCUGUGAGAGUGCGCUCUGCCAAAGAGGGGCUUAAGAAUCGUGGCCGUGUCAGCAAACCCUAACUUGCGAUGUUUUUUGGACUCUUCUUCCAUCAGUGUUGGCACUGGGAGUUACUUGCAGGCUACGUGACAUGGGGUUGGUGUUUCGGUGGCUGGGUUGCCUCCUGCUCAUCGGCCACGACACUCUUCAGAUUGUGGUGUUGGGAGCUCUGCUCUUGGCUCAAAUGUUGUCCCAUCGUCUCCACCCCUUGGACGGGAAAACUCUUCUAGGUUUGGUGAUCCUUGUCCCCUUGGUUCUGCUAUUCGCAAAUUAAAAUACUUGGAUAGGUUAUGUUGUGCAACGAGAUACUCUUUGGGAAUUCGAUCCGACGACCUAGUGGCUAUCAAUUGAAAAGAGGCUAUUAUGUCAAAGCUUGCAACUUUUAACAAUGGUGAAAUAAAUGCAGAACCAUCAUUGUUGAUAACUGCAGAUCAAAGCCUUGGAUAAUUGCAGCAUAGCCAGACAAAUUUCUGGUCUUAUUCUCCUCAUGCAGAAUUACAUCAUAUUAUUAGCGGUAAUUUAACCUGGAGGAUUAACAAGAGGGAAAUCUAUGGAGAUAAAAUGGAGGAGUUUUCACAACGGUCUUGUUACCGUUCAGGGUAGUGCAAUUCUGAGGGUGACUUCAGAGAGCUAGACAAAAAAACUGGGUUGACUAUAGAUGAACAACUUUAAUUUGAGUCUCUUGCAUCUAUUGUAUUCUUGAGUCUUAAAAGGUAUUUUCCUAAUUAGAGAGCAAUAUCACAAUCAAAUUAUUUUCAUUUUGAGUAUCUUGUGCCCUUUGUCAUUCUCUUUGUUCUUAGAGCUAGAGUUCUAUUUUCUAGGAACAUUUUAUUUUGAUAGUAUAAGUUGCUUCUUUUAUAAAAAAUAAUCUUGGGAUUUUGGUAUGUGCCUCUAAUACUACUUUUGAAUACAUAACAUCUAAUGGUUUCUUUCAAUAUAUAAUGAACUAUUUUUUGAUAGAAAAACUAUUCUACAUAUAUACUCAUCAAGCUAACUAAACCUAUAUCUCAUGACUGGACAUAAGAAACCUAUGGGAGGGCAGCUGAAAGGAGGUGAAAGGGACAUGAUUGUGAAGGACAAAAUUUUGACAUCAGGGUUAAGAUAUAUUGUCACCAAAGUUGCUAUAGUUUAGCUCAAACAUAAAUCUGGAGGUUCACACUGAGGAUUAGAAUUAGA